AUUGAACGCUGGCGGCAGGCCUAACACAUGCAAGUCGAGCGGAUGAAGGGAGCUUGCUCCUGGAUUCAGCGGCGGACGGGUGAGUAAUGCCUAGGAAUCUGCCUGGUAGUGGGGGAUAACGUCCGGAAACGGGCGCUAAUACCGCAUACGUCCUGAGGGAGAAAGUGGGGGAUCUUCGGACCUCACGCUAUCAGAUGAGCCUAGGUCGGAUUAGCUAGUUGGUGGGGUAAAGGCCUACCAAGGCGACCAUCCGUAACUGGUCUGAGAGGAUGAUCAGUCACUCUGGAACUGAGACACGGUCCAGACUCCUACGGGAGGCAGCAGUGGGGAAUAUUGGACAAUGGGCGAAAGCCUGAUCCAGCCAUGCCGCGUGUGUGAAGAAGGUCUUCGGAUUGUAAAGCACUUUAAGUUGGGAGGAAGGGCAGUAAGUUAAUACCUUGCUGUUUUGACGUUACCAACAGAAUAAGCACCGGCUAACUUCGUG
rnacentral:rRNA from 1 species